AGAGUUUGAUCCUGGCUCAGGAUGAACGCUGGCGGCGUGCCUAAUACAUGCAAGUCGAGCGAACGGACGAGAAGCUUGCUUCUCUGAUGUUAGCGGCGGACGGGUGAGUAACACGUGGAUAACCUACCUAUAAGACUGGGAUAACUUCGGGAAACCGGAGCUAAUACCGGAUAAUAUUUUGAACCGCAUGGUUCAAAAGUGAAAGACGGUCUUGCUGUCACUUAUAGAUGGAUCCGCGCUGCAUUAGCUAGUUGGUAAGGUAACGGCUUACCAAGGCAACGAUGCAUAGCCGACCUGAGAGGGUGAUCGGCCACACUGGAACUGAGACACGGUCCAGACUCCUACGGGAGGCAGCAGUAGGGAAUCUUCCGCAAUGGGCGAAAGCCUGACGGAGCAACGCCGCGUGAGUGAUGAAGGUCUUCGGAUCGUAAAACUCUGUUAUUAGGGAAGAACAUAUGUAUAAGUAACUGUGCACAUCUUGACGGUACCUAAUCAGAAAGCCACGGCUAACUACGUGCCAGCAGCCGCGGUAAUACGUAGGUGGCAAGCGUUAUCCGGAAUUAUUGGGCGUAAAGCGCGCGUAGGCGGUUUUUUAAGUCUGAUGUGAAAGCCCACGGCUCAACCGUGGAGGGUCAUUGGAAACUGGAAAACUUGAGUGCAGAAGAGGAAAGCGGAAUUCCAUGUGUAGCGGUGAAAUGCGCAGAGAUAUGGAGGAACACCAGUGGCGAAGGCGACUUUCUGGUCUGUAACUGACGCUGAUGUGCGAAAGCGUGGGGAUCAAACAGGAUUAGAUACCCUGGUAGUCCACGCCGUAAACGAUGAGUGCUAAGUGUUAGGGGGUUUCCGCCCCUUAGUGCUGCAGCUAACGCAUUAAGCACUCCGCCUGGGGAGUACGACCGCAAGGUUGAAACUCAAAGGAAUUGACGGGGACCCGCACAAGCGGUGGAGCAUGUGGUUUAAUUCGAAGCAACGCGAAGAACCUUACCAAAUCUUGACAUCCUUUGACAACUCUAGAGAUAGAGCUUUCCCCUUCGGGGGACAAAGUGACAGGUGGUGCAUGGUUGUCGUCAGCUCGUGUCGUGAGAUGUUGGGUUAAGUCCCGCAACGAGCGCAACCCUUAAGCUUAGUUGCCAUCAUUAAGUUGGGCACUCUAAGUUGACUGCCGGUGACAAACCGGAGGAAGGUGGGGAUGACGUCAAAUCAUCAUGCCCCUUAUGAUUUGGGCUACACACGUGCUACAAUGGACAAUACAAAGGGCAGCGAAACCGCGAGGUCAAGCAAAUCCCAUAAAGUUGUUCUCAGUUCGGAUUGUAGUCUGCAACUCGACUACAUGAAGCUGGAAUCGCUAGUAAUCGUAGAUCAUCAUGCUACGGUGAAUACGUUCCCGGGUCUUGUACACACCGCCCGUCACACCACGAGAGUUUGUAACACCCGAAGCCGGUGGAGUAACCUUUUAGGAGCUAGCCGUCGAAGGUGGGACAAAUGAUUGGGGUGAAGUCGUAACAAGGUAGCCGUAUCGGAAGGUGCGGCUGGAUCACCU
rnacentral:rRNA from 1 species